AGAGUUUGAUCCUGGCUCAGGAUGAACUGCUAGCGACAGGCCUAACACAUGCAAGUCGAGGGGCAUCGGGGAGCGAAGCUUGCUUUGCUCCGCCGGCGACCGGCGCACGGGUGAGUAACGCGUAUGCAACCUGCCCGUUUCAGCGGGAUAACCCGGAGAAAUCCGGCCUAAUACCGCAUGUGGCCGAGGGAAGGCAUCUUCUUUCGGCCAAAGGAGGCGACUCCGGAGACGGAUGGGCAUGCGUGACAUUAGCUUGUUGGCGGGGUAACGGCCCACCAAGGCGACGAUGUCUAGGGGUUCUGAGAGGAAGGUCCCCCACACUGGUACUGAGACACGGACCAGACUCCUACGGGAGGCAGCAGUGAGGAAUAUUGGUCAAUGGGCGAGAGCCUGAACCAGCCAAGUCGCGUGAAGGAUGACGGCCCUACGGGUUGUAAACUUCUUUUGUCAGGGAGCAAUUGGGUCCACGCGUGGGCUUAGCGAGAGUACCUGAAGAAAAAGCAUCGGCUAACUCCGUGCCAGCAGCCGCGGUAAUACGGAGGAUGCGAGCGUUAUCCGGAUUUAUUGGGUUUAAAGGGUGCGUAGGCGGAAUAUCAAGUCAGCGGUAAAAAUUCGGGGCUCAACCCCGUCGUGCCGUUGAAACUGAUGUUCUUGAGUGGGCGAGAAGUAUGCGGAAUGCGUGGUGUAGCGGUGAAAUGCAUAGAUAUCACGCAGAACUCCAAUUGCGAAGGCAGCAUACCGGCGCCCAACUGACGCUGAAGCACGAAAGCGUGGGUAUCGAACAGGAUUAGAUACCCUGGUAGUCCACGCAGUAAACGAUGAAUGCUAAUUGUCCGGAGGGAUUGACCUCUGGGUGAUACAGCGAAAGCGUUAAGCAUUCCACCUGGGGAGUACGCCGGCAACGGUGAAACUCAAAGGAAUUGACGGGGGCCCGCACAAGCGGAGGAACAUGUGGUUUAAUUCGAUGAUACGCGAGGAACCUUACCCGGGCUCAAACGCAGGAGGAAUACAUUUGAAAGGGUGUAGCUCUACGGAGUCUUCUGCGAGGUGCUGCAUGGUUGUCGUCAGCUCGUGCCGUGAGGUGUCGGCUUAAGUGCCAUAACGAGCGCAACCCCUAUCGACAGUUGCCAACAGGUGAAGCUGGGAACUCUGUCGAGACUGCCGGCGCAAGCUGAGAGGAAGGCGGGGAUGACGUCAAAUCAGCACGGCCCUUACGUCCGGGGCGACGCACGUGUUACAAUGGCGGCCACAGCGGGAAGCCAGGCGGCGACGCCGAGCGGAACCCGAAAAGCCGUCUCAGUUCGGAUUGGAGUCUGCAACCCGACUCCAUGAAGCUGGAUUCGCUAGUAAUCGCGCAUCAGCCACGGCGCGGUGAAUACGUUCCCGGGCCUUGCACUCACCGCCCGUCA
rnacentral:rRNA from 1 species